AUCACUUCUCAGCCUUUUGGCUAAGAUCAAACGUAGAAGCUGUUAUCUGAUCAAUAUCUAAUACAUCCCCUGUGUGGGGCCAGUAUUUGAGGCAGUUUUGCCUAGUGGAUAGAGCACUGUCUGGGACCUGGAUACCUGGUUUCUAUUCCAGCUUUGCCACUGGCCUGUUAGGUGACCUUGGGCAAGUCACAUCUC
ensembl:snRNA U2 U2 spliceosomal RNA